CCACCCUCGAAGACGUAACCGGCUGGACCACUUGGAAAUCGAACGUAUCGACGUCUACGAGAUGAAUUUAAAAUAAAGCUUGCUCGAUCCUGAGAUCUCUGUUUCACUGCUGGCACGAUUCGAGGAUACGAUGAGGAUUAUUGCUAUGAGUAACCAUUGGCACGAUCUCGCUGCACCCAUCAUUUAGCUGGAAUACAACGAUGAACUUUUUGGUUGUUCGAAGUCCCGAUCAAGAAUCUGCCGAGUGUGGUGCUCGUAAAACGGCCACCACAUAAAACGAAUGACGAAAGGAAAUCUUCUAUAUACGUGUGCUCUUUAUUCGCUGGCCGUCAACGUGAUCUUGAUGGUUCGGAAACCAACUGCUCGAUGGACAUUCUUGGUUUUAAAGAACGUGUAAGACGAUCGUUUACGACCGGGACAAGAUGCAUCGAUAGUCGAUCGAUUUUUAGAAGACAGAAACCAUCAGUGAACCUACGUUCCUUUUUAGCGUUGGCGGCUUUUCUUGGAAUGAAAAAAAAAGAGGUAUUUUUAUCUUUCGAAACGUGAAUAUAAUUCCAAGAUUAAUAUGAUUGUACGUAAAGGUAUGCAAUUCUACGUUGAGAAAGAAAUAUUCUGUUCAGAAAUGUAA